rnacentral:rRNA from 1 species
AGUGCACGCUGGCGGUAGGCCUAACACAUGCAAGUCGAACGGCAGCACAGUAAGAGCUUGCUCUUACGGGUGGCGAGUGGCGGACGGGUGAGGAAUACAUCGGAAUCUACUUUUUCGUGGGGGAUAACGUAGGGAAACUUACGCUAAUACCGCAUACGACCUACGGGUGAAAGCAGGGGAUCUUCGGACCUUGCGCGAUUGAAUGAGCCGAUGUCGGAUUAGCUAGUUGGCGGGGUAAAGGCCUACCAAGGCGACGAUCCGUAGCUGGUCUGAGAGGAUGAUCAGCCACACUGGAACUGAGACACGGUCCAGACUCCUACGGGAGGCAGCAGUGGGGAAUAUUGGACAAUGGGCGCAAGCCUGAUCCAGCCAUACCGCGUGGGUGAAGAAGGCCUUCGGGUUGUAAAGCCCUUUUGUUGGGAAAGAAAAGCAGCAGGUUAAUACCCCGCUGUUCUGACGGUACCCAAAGAAUAAGCACCGGCUAACUUCGUG